ensembl:snRNA U6 U6 spliceosomal RNA
GUGCCCACUUCGGCAGCACAUAUACUAAAACUGGAACGAUACAGAGAAGAGUCACAUGGCCCCUGAAAAAGGAUGACAUGCAAAUUCGUGGAGCGCUUCAUAGAAAA